CAAGAGGGAGUGGACAUCUCAGAAGAGAGGCGAUGCCCUACAUCCUGGACUCCAGGCUGGGGAGCAGCCCCUUGGUCUGCAAACAAGUAGCACAGGCCCAUCUUACUGGCCCGUCUCCCAGAUGGCCUUGAAGAUGAAGAUGUAGCAGUAGACGAUGACAAGCAGGGGCAGGAAGAAGACGAAGCAGAAGAGGAGCAGCGUGUAGGCGCGGAAGGACGGCGUGAAGCGCAUGUAGUCCCAGGAGCACGAGGUGGAAACACUGAGGCUUCAGGGCCAAGCAGACAGCUCAAAGGGCUGUAGCACGUGUUGUGUGCACAUGAGGCCCUGAGUUCAAUAUCCGGUCCCACAUGGCCCCAUGAGCACUGCUGGGUGUCACCCUGGAGGCUCCUGAGCACUGCUGGGCCUGAGCAGAGCUGCAUCAGUGCGCCAGAGCACUGAACUUUCAGGACCAGUAGGCCAAGUAUU